AUACGGAGGGUGCAAGCGUUGUUCGGAAUCACUGGGCGUAAAGGGCGCGCAGGCGGUUUGGUAAGUCAGAUGUGAAAGCCCACGGCUCAACCGUGGAAGUGCAUUUGAAAUUGCCAGACUUGAGUACCAGAGGGGAAAGUGGAAUUCCCGGUGUAGAGGUGAAAUUCGUAGAUAUCGGGAGGAAUACCGGUGGCGAAGGCGACUUUCUGGCUGGAUACUGACGCUGAGGCGCGAAAGCGUGGGGAGCAAACAGGAUUAGAAACCCCAGUAGUCC
rnacentral:rRNA from 1 species